rnacentral:piRNA from 1 species
GAGGAGCUACCCUUUCUGGCAGGAGC